rnacentral:rRNA from 1 species
GCUAAUACCGCAUAAUGCCUACGGGCCAAAGAGGGGGACCUUCGGGCCUCUCGCGUCAAGAUAUGCCUAGGUGGGAUUAGCUAGUUGGUGAGGUAAUGGCUCACCAAGGCGACGAUCCCUAGCUGGUCUGAGAGGAUGAUCAGCCACACUGGAACUGAGACACGGUCCAGACUCCUACGGGAGGCAGCAGUGGGGAAUAUUGCACAAUGGGCGAAAGCCUGAUGCAGCCAUGCCGCGUGUAUGAAGAAGGCCUUCGGGUUGUAAAGUACUUUCAGUUGUGAGGAAGGGGGUGUCGUUAAUAGCGGCAUCUCUUGACGUUAGCAACAGAAGAAGCACCGGCUAACUCCGUGCCAGCAGCCGCGGUAAUACGGAGGGUGCGAGCGUUAAUCGGAAUUACUGGGCGUAAAGCGCAUGCAGGUGGUUCAUUAAGUCAGAUGUGAAAGCCCGGGGCUCAACCUCGGAACUGCAUUUGAAACUGGUGAACUAGAGUACCGUAGAGGGGGGUAGAAUUUCAGGUGUAGCGGUGAAAUGCGUAGAGAUCUGAAGGAAUACCAGUGGCGAAGGCGGCCCCCUGGA